rnacentral:sRNA from 1 species
GCCAGACAUGGUGGUGCAUACCUGUAAUCCCAGCAACUGGGGAGGCUGAGGCAGGAGGAUCGAAAAUUCGAGGUCGGCCUCAACAAUUUAGCAAGGCCCUAAGCAAUUUAGAGAGACCCUGUCUCAA